CACUCCUGCGGGAGGCAGCAGUGGGGAAUCUUGCGCAAUGGGCGAAAGCCUGACGCAGCCAUGCCGCGUGAAUGAUGAAGGUCUUAGGAUUGUAAAAUUCUUUCACCGGGGACGAUAAUGACGGUACCCGGAGAAGAAGCCCCGGCUAACUUCGUGCCAGCAGCCGCGGUAAUACGAAGGGGGCUAGCGUUGCUCGGAAUUACUGGGCGUAAAGGGAGCGUAGGCGGACAUUUAAGUCAGGGGUGAAAUCCCGGGGCUCAACCUCGGAAUUGCCUUUGAUACUGGGUGUCUUGAGUAUGAGAGAGGUGUGUGGAACUCCGAGUGUAGAGGUGAAAUUCGUAGAUAUUCGGAAGAACACCAGUGGCGAAGGCGACACACUGGCUCAUUACUGACGCUGAGGCUCGAAAGCGUGGGGAGCAAACAGGAUUAGAAACCCGUGUAGUCCC
rnacentral:rRNA from 1 species